AAUAUUUCGCAAGGGUGGGAACUCUGACGCAGCGACGCCGUGUUAUCGAUGAUUGNCUNNGGUUCNUNAAGCACUUUCCUUAGNNNNNAAGGUCCUCGGCCAUGACGGUACCUAAGGACGAAGCCCCGGAUAACUACGUGUCAGCAGCCGCGGUAAUACGUAGGGGGCAAGCGUUGUCCGGAAUUAUUGGGCGUAAAGGGUGCGUAGGCGGCCUUUUAAGUCAGAUGUGAAAGCCCACGGCUUAACCGUGGGACUGCAUUUGAAACUGGAGGGCUUGAGUAUCGGAGAGGGUAGUGGAAUUCCCAGUGUAGCGGUGGAAUGCGUAGAUAUUGGGAGGAACACCAGUGGCGAAGGCGACUACCUGGACGAAAACUGACGCUGAGGCACGAAAGCUAGGGGAGCAAAC
rnacentral:rRNA from 1 species